rnacentral:rRNA from 1 species
UAAAAGCCAUCAAGCGAGCUUUUCCUCGCCUGGUUCUGGGAGAUGGUCACCCUCCGGGGAGCCCACCCCUGAAAUCCAACGGCGGACGAACCACCAGUGGAACUGCGGCGUAGUAAGAUUUUUCUUUCGCCUGCGUCCAUGGAGGGACCGUCCCGCCGGUUGCAAACCCCCCACAUUACAAUGGUUGACCUCGGAUCAGGUAGGGAUACCCGCUGAACUUAAGCAUAUCAAUAAGCGGAGGAAAAGAAACCAACAGGGAUUGCCUCAGUAACUGCGAGUGAAGCGGCAAGAGCUCAAAUUUGAAAUCUGGUACCUUUGGUGCCCGAGUUGUAAUUUGGAGGGAUAUCUUCGGGGCCGGCGCCGUCCUAAGUUCUUUGGAACAGGACAUCGUAGAGGGUGAGAAUCCCGUGCCUGGAUGGCUGCCCGGUCCCAUGUGAAGUGUCUCCGACGAGUCGAGUUGUUUGGGAAUGCAGCUCAAAAUGGGUGGUAAAUUUCAUCUAAAGCUAAAUAUUGGCGAGAGACCGAUAGCGAACAAGUAGAGUGAUCGAAAGAUGAAAAGCACUUUGAAAAGAGAGUUAAAGAGUACGUGAAAUUGUUGAAAGGGAAGCGCAUGCGACCAGACUCAACCUUUGGUGAUCAUCCGGGGUUCUCCCCGGUGCACUUGCCAUCGGUUGGGCCAGCAUCGGUUCCGGCGGCGGGAUAAAAGCGGUGGGAAUGUAGCUCCCCUCGGGGAGUGUUAUAGCCCUCCGCACA